rnacentral:rRNA from 1 species
AUUGAACGCUGGCGGCAGGCCUAACACAUGCAAGUCGAGCGAGCGGCGGACUGUUGAGUAAUGUCUGGGAAACUGCUUGAUGGAGGGGUAUAACUACUGGAAACGGUAGCUAAUACCGCAUACCAUCAGAUGUGCCCCGAUGGGCUUAGCUAGUAGGUGGGGUAACGGCUCACCUUGGCGACGAUCCCUAGCUGGUCUGCGAGGAUGAACAGCCACAGUGGAACUGAGUCACGGUCCAGACUCCUACGGGAGGCAGCGGUGGGGAAUAUUGGACAAUGGGCGCAAGCCUGAUGCAGCCAGGCCGCGUGUGUGAAGAAGGCCUGAGGGUUGUAAAGCACUUUCAGCGGGGAGGCGUUACCCGAAGAAGAAGCACCGGCUAACUCCGUGCCAGCAGCCGCGGUAAUAC